AGCACUUCUGUUUGUUUUUAAUUUAUAGACAAAGACUUACAGAUAGGUGCAAAAAGAAAUCCUCUUUUGCAACCCAUAACUCUUUGCUCAGUGUGAGUUUUGAUGCAGAUAAGAAGGAACAUG
ensembl:snoRNA